GUACAAUGGGUGGACUAACAGACACGUAAUUGUAACUAGACAAGUUGGACACACAGGAACAGAGGGGUUGAGGGCCCUGCUCAAUGAGCUUACAUGCUAGAGGGAGUGGGGUAUAGUGACACAAAGGGUAUAAGUAGGGAUAAUGAAAUAGGUUGCUAGAAAACUAUUCACUGGGAACUUAGUAGGUUAUUUUUGUCAGUUGCAGGAGAGAGGUCAUAGGGGGGAUCAAAACCCGUUAACAGCUUAGAUGAUAUGUUUUCCUGAAGAAGUGUGUUUUCAGAGAUUUUUUAAGGAGUGGAGACUGGGUAAAAGUCUAACAGAGAAGGGAAGGGAGAUCCACAGAAAAGGUGCAGCCCUGGAGACGUCUUGUAGGUGAGCAUCAGAUGUGGG